AAGGGCAUGCGGCGUGCUAUACAUGCAGUCGAACGAGUUCUCGUUGAUGAUCGGUGCUUGCACCGAGAUUCAACAUGGAACGAGUGGCGGACGGGUGAGUAACACGUGGGUAACCUGCCCUUAAGUGGGGGAUAACAUUUGGAAACAGAUGCUAAUACCGCAUAGAUCCAAGAACCGCAUGGUUCUUGGCUGAAAGAUGGCGUAAGCUAUCGCUUUUGGAUGGACCCGCGGCGUAUUAGCUAGUUGGUGAGGUAAUGGCUCACCAAGGCGAUGAUACGUAGCCGAACUGAGAGGUUGAUCGGCCACAUUGGGACUGAGACACGGCCCAAACUCCUACGGGAGGCAGCAGUAGGGAAUCUUCCACAAUGGACGCAAGUCUGAUGGAGCAACGCCGCGUGAGUGAAGAAGGCUUUCGGGUCGUAAAACUCUGUUGUUGGAGAAGAAUGGUCGGCAGAGUAACUGUUGUCGGCGUGACGGUAUCCAACCAGAAAGCCACGGCUAACUACGUGCCAGCAGCCGCGGUAAUACGUAGGUGGCAAGCGUUAUCCGGAUUUAUUGGGCGUAAAGCGAGCGCAGGCGGUUUUUUAAGUCUGAUGUGAAAGCCCUCGGCUUAACCGAGGAAGCGCAUCGGAAACUGGGAAACUUGAGUGCAGAAGAGGACAGUGGAACUCCAUGUGUAGCGGUGAAAUGCGUAGAUAUAUGGAAGAACACCAGUGGCGAAGGCGGCUGUCUGGUCUGUAACUGACGCUGAGGCUCGAAAGCAUGGGUAGCGAACAGGAUUAGAUACCCUGGUAGUCCAUGCCGUAAACGAUGAAUGCUAGGUGUUGGAGGGUUUCCGCCCUUCAGUGCCGCAGCUAACGCAUUAAGCAUUCCGCCUGGGGAGUACGACCGCAAGGUUGAAACUCAAAGGAAUUGACGGGGGCCCGCACAAGCGGUGGAGCAUGUGGUUUAAUUCGAAGCAACGCGAAGAACCUUACCAGGUCUUGACAUCUUUUGAUCACCUGAGAGAUCAGGUUUCCCCUUCGGGGGCAAAAUGACAGGUGGUGCAUGGUUGUCGUCAGCUCGUGUCGUGAGAUGUUGGGUUAAGUCCCGCAACGAGCGCAACCCUUAUGACUAGUUGCCAGCAUUUAGUUGGGCACUCUAGUAAGACUGCCGGUGACAAACCGGAGGAAGGUGGGGAUGACGUCAAAUCAUCAUGCCCCUUAUGACCUGGGCUACACACGUGCUACAAUGGAUGGUACAACGAGUUGCGAGACCGCGAGGUCAAGCUAAUCUCUUAAAGCCAUUCUCAGUUCGGACUGUAGGCUGCAACUCGCCUACACGAAGUCGGAAUCGCUAGUAAUCGCGGAUCAGCACGCCGCGGUGAAUACGUUCCCGGGCCUUGUACACACCGCCCGUCACACCAUGAGAGUUUGUAACACCCGAAGCCGGUGGCGUAACCCUUUUAGGGAGCGAGCCGUCUAAGGUGGACAAAAGAUUUGG
rnacentral:rRNA from 1 species